CGCUGUGUAGUGACUUAUAAUAUACACAAUUUUAAUAUUUACAUGCCCCCCCAUAUGCUCACACACGGUGUUAUUUGUAGAGUAACUCAAACCCUCUCCCCUCCUCGCUGCGCAGUGGUAUCGCCCUCCCCAUCUGUUCAGCUCCGGUGAGACUGAUAGAAACAGAUUGUAGCGCUCCCAGAGUCGGCUGCGAUGUUAGCUGUCCGGACACAACAAGUUUGCUUUUGUUUGUAAUGUUACGGAGAUGUUAUAAGUCGCAGAGGAAACUACUUUCUAAUGUGAGGAACAAGCGACACACCACUUCUGCUGUCCAAACAUGUCCCAGGGAUGUAUGAUUUCUGUGGAAGAGAUCCAGUCUUGGUGGGAAGUCCCCGCCAUAGCCCACUUCUGCUCGCUGUUCAGGACAGCGUUCAACCUUCCAGACUUUGAAAUAGAGGAAUUGGAAAAAGCUCUGUCGGAGCAGGACUUGAACUUCCUCGGGGACCUCAUUGCCUGUCUGUUGCAGGGAUGCUACCAGCGCAAAGACAUCACCCCCGAGGCAUUUAGCCGUUACCUGGAAGAUAUCAUCAGCUACCGGUGGGAGCUGGAGGAGGGAAAGCCCAACCCUCUCAGAGAGGGACCUUUCGAGAAUCUCCCUCCUCGUACUCAGGUUGAACUGCUGCACCGACUCUGUGAUUAUCGUCUGGAUGCUGCUGAUGUCUUUGACCUGCUUAAGGGACUGGAUGCAGACAGCCUGCGGGUGGAACCGUUGGGGCAAGAUGGAAAUGGAGCCCUCUACUGGUACUUUUAUGGCACUCGUAUGUACAAAGAGGAGCCAGUGAGGAAGAGGAAAGCUUCUAAGAUCAGUGAGUCAUCUGAACUAUCACUACCAGAGAAAAAGAAAAGGGGAAGACCACCAAAGAAGAGAACAUUAGAUGAACCUCAUCUUAGCGACGUGGAAAAAGAUGUGUCAGAGGACAAGUCAGACAAUGGACUGGAGGAGUCUCCCCCAUGCAAAGCAGGUCACAAGCGAGGCACUUGGUCCCUUGUGUGUGACACAGAGGAAGAGUGGGUCAGGCUGGCUGAAAGCAUCAAGGACAACACCUCCCCACAGGACCGCCAUCUCCACCGGGUCAUCACCCAGAACUUCCUGCCUGAGAUCAGGAGCAUGAUAGAGCACAAGGAGCGAGAGCAUAAACAGAAACUUCUGGACCCGCCCCUGCUGCCCACAUCACAACGCUUCUCUGAAAAAAACAUUCAGCAAGAAGACGAGGAUGGUCUGAAGGCUGUGACAGAGGAGGAGAGAAAGAAGGAUGAAGAGCUGGACAGGCAGGUCCUGUUGGCUGAACAGCGACAAGAAGAGGAGAGACGUCUGCAGGAGGAACGGCAGAGAGAGAAGAUGGAAAAGAUCAAAGCUGUGGAAGAACGAGCGAAGAGACGGAAGAUGCGAGAGGAAAAGGCCUGGCUGCUGUCUCAAGGAAAAGAGCUGCCACCUGAGCUACUGAAUCUAGAACCUUCCUCCCCUGUACACAGAACACGCCGGAAUAAAGAUUUCUAUGAAAUUGAUGACGACUACACCGCUCUAUACAAAGUGCUUGAGGUCCUGAAAUCCCAUAAAGAUGCUUGGCCUUUCUUGGAGCCUGUGGAUGACUCCUAUGCCCCCAAUUACCAUGAGCUCAUCCAGACUCCCAUGGACCUGUCCACCAUUGAAAAGAAGCUCAAUGAAGGAGACUACAUUGCCAAGGAGGAGUUUGUUGCUGACGUGAAGCUCAUGUUUGAAAACUGUGUUGAGUACAACGGGGAAGACAGUGAAUACACUAUCAUGGCAGAGUCCCUAGAGCGGUGUUUCAGUCGGGCCAUGUUGAAACACUUUCCAUCAGAGGAUGGCGACACAGAUGAGGAAUUCAACAUCAGACAAGAAGACAGGGAGCGCAAGGAUAAAAAGCGCAACCGUGGAAAUAAAAAUCUGGGACCUGAAAGUCUAAUCAAGGCCACUGAGCAAGUCCAACGUAAGCGAAACUCCCAAGGGGGCAAGGGCAUCUCGCCCUCAGAGGAAGAGGACAACAAGCUGACACGGCCACUGCUUCCUCCACACUGGACCAAUGGCCCCCCUCACCCUCACAGUCUGCCGCCAAGCCAACAACGUAUCCACGAAGGAGACAUGAGAGGCAUGUACCACCCAGGACAACAGCUCCGUCAUCCUGGCCCACAUAUGUAUGCCCAAAGAAUGGCUAUGGAUCCUCGCUUUGCUUACCCAGCUCACAUUUCCAGGCAUGGAGACCCCAACUUGAACCACUUUCCCCGUAACUUUAACAUGCAGCAUCGCAUGGUUGAAGGACAUCAUAUGGGUCCGAGGUAUCCAAUGGGCCCAGAUCCGAACCAGCAGCCACCUCCACACCAGCAGCAGCACCCUUACAUGGGUCCAACUCAUGGUCCAUCUCUGGGCCCACGUCCCAUGGCCCUACAGCCUGGACCUCCUCCUGAAGCAAGCAUGUACCCAUCCCACCACCAUGCAGAGGGCCACGCCAUGCACCAAAUGGGCAACAGAUUCCCAGGACCAGAUAGACCAACUCAGCACAACUACCCUGGCUUGAGGCCGCCUGGCUUGAGUCUUUCCAACAUGUGGACUAGUAUGAAUCAACAAGAGAGACCAAAUGGGAUACACAUGCAAGAUCCCAACAGAGUCAACCAGCACAACUUCACUUAUGGAGGGGUUCCACCUCCAGCAGGGCAUAAACCAUGGCCCGAAGCUGCAGGAUACCCACACCCACAUCCCAAUGCCCACUAUCAAAUGUCUUCAGGGGUCAGCUCCCAGGGGUCCAUGUCCUCACACCCCGCUCCCCACCAAGACUCCAUUAACAGGACACGCUUGGCUUCAAUGCUGGAAAGCCCUGAGAUGCUUGCCCUGCAGCAGCUGUCAGCUUCUUCUCGACCCCCUGCCGGUGCCCCUCAUCAGCACAUGGGCAACUUUCAGCAGUCUGGGCCCCCAUCAGGAAUUGGCAGCAUCCCAGCUCACCCUUCUCAACAGCCUCCCCCUGCCCCUGAGGUUCAGCUGCUGCGUCCUGCUACAGACAAUGGGCCAGACAGCCAGGCCUGCCAACAGACAGACAUGCAGCCCAAAGGCACAUCAGAGAACAAAAUGGUGCCCAACAACAUUUCUGAAGGAGCUCAAUCACAAGAGAACAGUUUGUCAAUUAAUCAAGAGCACCCACCCAAUCCUAGUCCCACAGGACACCACACUGGGGCAGCAGAGGGAAUGCAGAGCCCCCCGACCCCCAAGUCAGGCAAAUCACAAGACAAUUCUUCUGGACCCGAGCUCUCACAGAGCUCAACAGCGAGCCACAAGCCGGAUGUAGAUGACCACAGACAGUCUGCCAGCCACUGUCCUCCUCAACUCAAUAGUGCCCCUACUGUUUCACCACAUGUCGACACAAACCACGACAGUUCCACAGAUUUUUCGCCACCAAAUCCUUCUCAGAGUACAGAACACAUACAAAACGCUCCAGGCCCUGCACUUCUUCCCCGGAAUGCCCUUCCACUGCAGGUACCAGGAUCUCAGAAUUCUACUCGGCAGGACAACUUGCCACACAUGCUGAAUGCACCACAGCAGCAAAGCGAGCACCAGCAGAACAUUCAAAAACAGCAGCAGCAAUCUCAGGCAACCCAAAGAGUCCCCUCUCAAUGCCCCCCCUCUAGCUCUCCACAGCUGAUGAGCCAAGAUGCACAACAACACAAUUCUCCACAUCAUGUCCAACAAAGCGUCUCCCCCCAACAUCCCACACAGAACAGCCCCAUGCAUGGGAUGCCUCAGAGUUCCACACAAGGAGCCCAGCCUGGACCACCUCAACCAGCUCCUCUCACGUCUUUACCACCCAGUCAUCCUGCUCCACUGUUCCCCUCACAGCCUAGUCCUGCAGACCACGGUAAUCAAAGACCCAGUGAGCCUACAAGUAGAGCAGACACAGAGGGUACCACUACUGCUCCACAGCACACCGUGAUGAAAUCUGGGCCUCCAAGUGGUAUUUAUAAACAUCAGGGUUUCAGCCCCAGUCACCACCAAGCCCAACUGGUAGGUAGUAACACAGGUUUGCAGACUCCGAGAGGGUCUUCACCUGGUCACAACCCAGCUAUGCCUCCCCACUCCCAAGACCAUGUAAAUGGAACCAUGGGUCCUUACAGCAUGGGGAACCCUCAGCAUCCACACUACAACCAGACUAACAUGACGAGAUCCAUGCCUCCAUCUGUGCACCACUCUUAUCACAACCAGACCAUGAACCCCCUUCCUGCUCACCACCCCUCCUACCACCAGCAGGGAGGGACUGCUUACCCCUACCACAUGCCUGGUCAACAGCACCCUCAGGCUCACCCCAACAUGUACCCACCUCAUCAGUACCAGCAGCAACACUACUACCCCCAGCACCAUCCGCAAGCUCAGACCCAUGGUCAGGCUAAUAAUAGACGGGGUUAUCCCCCAGAGGAGUGGCAUCGGUCACCUUAUCAACCACACCAUCAAAUGGCAUCUAAUGCCUACCUACCUGUGGGCAGUGCCAGAGGCAACAGUCAGUCAAAGGAGAGCAGUAUGUCACCUAUGGGCUCUGAGGGUUCCAGUGGGGCUGCCUUGCUGUCUCCUGGCCCUAUGGCCGAAGCAGGGCCAAACUCUGGUGGCUCAGAGGAGGGAAAGGUGGAAAGCAGGUCACAGGCAAGCAGAGGCAGCAGCAGUGGUGGCAGUCCAGUUCAUAAUGAGAGCUCAGACCAUCCUGAAAGCCCAAAAGAAAUCCUGGACCUGGACAGCCAUAAUGCUGCUGCCCGCCACCGUGGCCCACAGCCACCUCAACAGCUACACCCAACCGCCUCAGCUUCACAUAUGUCGCCUGGCUUUAUGUACAACUCGCGUGCCUUGCACCCUGGGAUGCAGCAAGGGGGUGCCCCUCUACCACAUGUGAUGUCACAUGCCCGAGGAGUUGUAAAUGGAAGCCCGUACCCUUGCCAGCCAUACCCAGAUCCAGGACGCUAUGCUGGCCAGAGACCUCACCCACACCUAAUGGAGGCUCUGCAGCGGCCUCAGCAGCUGCCGUACAGCCCAGGUCAGACACGCAUGGCAAUGUACCAGAAUCCACACCCUGCAGGGCACUACCAAGGCAUGAUGAUUCAGCAGAGAUUCCGAGCACCAGAACACUUCCUACACCCAGGGCAGCAAAUGAUGGCUGCUCCUCGAGGCCCUAGCAGUAAACAGGGAGUGUGACAUACAUGUUACUAAUGAAGAGCAUCCAGACAAAGUCACGAGCAGAAAGGAAGAUGAAGUCGUGCAGGCGGGGCAGGCAGAGACUACAAUGGGGAUGCUUUGCUCCACGGCCAACUUUACAUGAUAUUCUGGAGAAAAACAAGAACGUAAACUCCAUUUUGCCCACAUUUGGACUGGAAGAUCCAAGCAGGCAGCUGGAAUUACUUAUCUGUUGAUGAUGCUGUGAAAUGUUUUUGAGUCCUCUCCACGCAGAGCUCACUGAGGUCAGGAACAAAAAUGCUCUGUGGAACUGGAAUGAAUUCAUCCCAGCACACAUUAGCAGAACGGCUGCAUUCUGUCAUGUGUGACUCCAUCAGAAGAGCAGUAUUUUUAACCACUAGUUAAACCUGCCUCACACAGGGGACACGUCCUUUUCCUCUUUGAGGAGUGAAAAUAUGGAUUUUUUUUAAAGGCCAUUGCUCCUCUUGUUCACUGACUGUAGAGGUGUAAAUUAAUGACGAAGAGACAAGAUUUUUUGUUUUUACUACUAUUUUUCCUGUUCCUUCUAUCUUAAAACUCAGGUGGAAAAAAAAGAAGAAAAAAGGAGGUACUAUGAGACUCUCACUCUGUCCCAAUCACCUCACAGACUCCUUGCAAUUGCCUUGGUUUCCUUUGUGAAUGUAUGAAUAAAAGCAUAUCCUGGAAUUGAGAGGCCUUCAGUAGUCUUAUGGCACUUUUCCACUGCAUGGUCCCAGUGCGACUCGACUCGGCACGGCUCGGUUAUUUUGCUUUUCCAUCAACGAUAGUACCUGGUACUUUUUUGAGUACCUGCUCUGGCGAGGUUCCAAGUGAGCCAAGCCAAUACUAUGUGUGACAUCGUCGGACUGCUGGGGCAAUUGAUGAGAGUGUCAUCACAGGAAGGGGAAUGAGCAAGAUGUCUGGCUCAAGAAUCAAGCCGUACAAUGCCCAACUGUAGAUCAGUUAAGAAUACUUAACAAUCCUGAAAACGUGCGCAAAGGAA